GACGAACGCUGGCGGCGUGCUUAACACAUGCAAGUCGAACGUGAUUUUUGUGGAAAUUCUUUCGGGAAUGGAAGUAAAAUGAAAGUGGCGAACGGGUGAGUAACACGUGAGCAACCUACCUUACACAGGGGGAUAGCCGUUGGAAACGACGAUUAAUACCGCAUGAGACCACAGAACCGCAUGGUAUAGGGGUCAAAGAUUUAUCGGUGUAAGAUGGGCUCGCGUCUGAUUAGCUAGUUGGAAGGGUAAAGGCCUACCAAGGCGACGAUCAGUAGCCGGUCUGAGAGGAUGAACGGCCACAUUGGAACUGAGACACGGUCCAAACUCCUACGGGAGGCAGCAGUGGGGAAUAUUGCACAAUGGGGGAAACCCUGAUGCAGCGACGCCGCGUGAGCGAAGAAGGUUUUCGAAUCGUAAAGCUCUGUCCUAUGAGAAGA
rnacentral:rRNA from 1 species